UUUCCUCCACAUCCACAGGAGCCCAUUUUAUCUUCUCUCUUUCUGAUAAGAACCAUCCCAAGGGUGUGAGAUGGAAUCUCCCUGUGGUGUCAUUCCACAUUCCCUAAGGACACCGAACCACAGAGAGAUUGUGUAACCUAGGUCACAGGGUGUUUAAGUAUUGAAGGCAGGAAGGUUUUGAAGUGGUUCUAGUGCAGGCCUGGUUAAGCAUUUUCUCCUCACUGUCCCAAAAAGCAUGUCCUCCUUGGAAAGUAUGCAGUGCCUCAGGAAAAUGUUUCAAACUUAGUGAGCAUACAUUUAUGUUAAUCAUUUGGUCCUUAUUUUAUAACUUUUCAUAAUUCUAGUCAUAAAUAGGUAACUUCAAACUCUGUUGCCUCAACAAAAUAUAAACUAUCCUGAUUUUGCCUGCUAUCAAAAGGAUAAUGACCCAGACAUAAAAGGAAGCCUGUAUCCAGCCGCUGAAAAUGUCAGUAUCUUGAGUGAAUACUCUGUUUCGUGGGACGAGAAGUAAGAGCUGAAUCUUCUGAAAGAACGCUAAAGAUAAAGCUCUCGUGGUCAUUGCUUCACAAUAAAACUCAGUAAUAAAAUCCACACUAAGUGUGCGUCCUGCUUUGACAGCUGAAAUGAAGGAGGCAUGUGGGUUAAAUUCAAAUGCAUUCUGGAGGACUGUACUGUGAAGAGCAGUUGCUGUGAUGACUUGAUUAUUUAUGAAAGUCAGAGUUACCAGUGGGAGAGAUAUAUUUGCUGUUGCCACUGAGAUUAUCACGGACUUUAAGAAAAUAGCUAUCUAUGGGGAACAUUAAUAGCAAGCAGUUGGACCCAAGAAGUUACAAUGAAGUUGUGUUACAGCUGUCAAAAAUGAUGGGCUACAUAAUCAGUAACAGCAAAUAGAGUAUUUCUUUGAAGCCAUUUCUGCUGGAAGGUGUGUAGAAUAUCCAUUGGAGAGUGCCAAAGAACACCUGCCAAGAAGUGAAACCCAGCAGUUGAAAGUCAGAGAUAAAUAAGGAACUGUGCUAUAACUGUCUGGAAAUCAUGAAAUAUUAGACUGGGAAGGCAUUGUGAGAGUACACAGUGAUCCCCUGUUUUAUGUGAUGAAGUGUUCUGGAGGGAAAUGAGUUAUCUCUGUGUAACCUGCUUUCACUGUUAGGUCUUGUGAAUGUGCAAUUGUGUCAAUAUAAAGGAAAAGGAGCCCUCUAUUUCCCAAAGCAAAGUGCAAGAAGCCCUACACAUUUUGAGCAUCAUGAAAAUGCAUACAACAAUGAGACCACUGAGCAAUUGGUCUGAAAAACGAAAAGCUAUUCCAUAACAAAGCUUGAGAAUAGGUUUUGCCUGGGAUUCUAAUCUCACCAUAAAUUCAGAGUAUUAGUGGACAAACUCUCCUGGAAAGGGAGCAGGCUGCUUCGCCUCACUGGUGAACUGAGAUGGAAACAGAGAAGGGUCUCUGAGGCUUGUCACUAAAGCUUAAAUGACUAUCCACGUUGGGAAAAUGACUGGAGAGAUACUAUUGGAAAGAAGUCAAAUAGAGAAGCAAAACUGAUGUCCAAAUCACCAGCUGCUCUCCUUGGAAGAGAAAAUUAGAUUCAUGCCACAGGACAGAAACCAGGAAAAAAAGAAAAUGAAAAUCUGUGGAUUCCUUCCAGACUAAUAUGGUUUGAUCAAGCAAGACCCCCUGAAGCUGAGAUGGUACAACCGAACAGACUACAAAAACAAGGACUUGGUCAGAUUUCUGUGUUUUAUUAUGAUUCCAAUGGUAUGAACAUCAUCCCCAAUCAGCAGGAAGCAGUUUAGAAAGAAUGACGCCCAUUUUCCCAAAUAUUGUUUAUAAAUUUUGUUUUCAUUUAAGUGGGGUUGGUUAUAAAUGAUAACGAGCAUAGUCAAUCUCUUUUUAAAGAAAGAAAAGGGGGAAUGGUAUAUAGGAAUGAAUGCUUUACAUUGGUAUGGAUUUUCAUUUAUUGAUACAACUUUAAGGUCAAUUUUGUGAUAUGUAUAUGUCUCCUCUUGUUUAGGUAUUGUGUUUAUACAGAUCUUUUACCUAUAAUAGUCAGAACUUAUAAUUAGGUUAGUUAAGUUUUCUAGAUUUACAGAGAUGUAUUUGAGAUGGUUAGGUAUUCUUCAAACCUUUCAAAGACCUACACAAAUAUGGCAUUUAAAUGGUUUAGGGUUUUUCUUGGCAAUGAGACACAACUGUUCCUAGCACACCAAUUAUGUCAGAAAGGAAGAUGGGCAUCAAAGAAACUCGUUAUGGAGUUUUCUUUCAACAUGGCAAGAUUAGCCAUUUGGGCAAGAAACUGCUCUUGCCUGGACUGUUUGUUGCUGUAUAAACUGGACAUGCAGGACCCACAAGAAAAUAACUGCUGAACUUACAAGGCAAGACAGUACUAAAGAGUUCCUGUUGAAAUGGAGAAGUGUGCUAGACACACUAUGUCCUAUAGGCUAAAGAUGGAUGCCCCAAUGUUACAGAGGAACUUUGGAUGACUGUCCAGCUAGCAAAAUGUCCUGUCAAUUCUAGAGUUUAUAUAUUUUCCUUCUAUGAUCUUUGAUAGAGUUGAAGACAGAUAGUUAUGGUUAUAGUUUUCUUCAGUUAUUAUAAAAGAUAAGUUAUCCUUUUUAUUUAGACAUUAAAAAAGAGAUGAUAGGGAAUGUACUUCUUUGUAUGUUUAUCUUAUUGAUUGUUGAAUAAAAUACUGUUUGGCCAAUGGCAGCAAGUUAGGCAGGACUAGGAGUCAAAGAGGAUUCUGGGAAAUGUAGUAGAGAAGUGGUGUUCCAGGCAGGAAGUGACAUAGCAAGGAGACUCAUAUUUAGCAAGGAAAACAGGAAGUGUCCCCUUUUCCCCUCUGCUCUUCCUCCAGCAGAGCAAUGUGAACCACCGGCAAGGAGGGACGCCAAUAAGGCAUCUGAUAAGAUAAGUCUUAUAAAAUAUGUAGAUGUAUGAUAAUUGAGGUUGAACUAACAGAUGAGAAUCCUAGUCAUUGGCCAAGCAGCAUUGUACCUAAU
ensembl:lncRNA